GAGAUCCUCCAAAAAAGGUGUACUACACCACCUACGAGGAGCCACUUAUGCCACUUAUACAUGAGAUAGCAUCACUGGUGUCACAGGGAUCUUUGAUUCGGACAGAAGUGUCAGCAAAGGUGGAAAAAGACACUCGGCUGGACACUCCUCAAGUCAGCUCCACUUGCAACACCGACAGGCUCCUGAAAUUGAACAAAGAAUGUUUAGUGGUGAUGAUAGUGUAAGACAGUCUGGUGAAUUUUAAAGUGAUGUUGCACUUUUUUUUAUGCUGAGCCCUCAGAAUCUCCCCAACAACCACUUGUUACACAUAAGGCCAAAACCCCAAUAUCUCAGCUUCCCACCCUUGCCACUCACACCAAAGAACUGUCUUUUGAUACUGUUCCACUCAUUUCUAUUGGUGGGAAAUGAGAUGUAAUUGCCAGACACCGAGUGUAUGGCAUCCAGAACCUGGUCAAGGCACCGUGUGAAUGUGCACAGAAGUUUGACCAUGCCAGGAACAGCAUGGCUUCUGCGUGUUAGUGGCUGCAGGUAAGCAGUUUUGAAGAUAAAGGCUGUCACAACUGCUUCUCCCCAGUGCAUCAAAAAACAUGCAUCUUCCUCUUUCACACAAGGGGGCCGAUUCACUAAAGUCCAAACUAAGGAGUGAUAUUUAUAGCAUACGUUAAAAAUAAGCAC